rnacentral:rRNA from 1 species
UACGUAGGGUGCGAGCGUUAAUCGGAAUUACUGGGCGUAAAGCGUGCGCAGGCGGUGAUGUAAGACCGAUGUGAAAUCCCCGGGCUUAACCUGGGAACUGCAUUGGUGACUGCAUUGCUGGAGUAUGGCAGAGGGGGGUGGAAUUCCACGUGUAGCAGUGAAAUGCGUAGAGAUGUGGAGGAACACCAAGGCGAAGGCAGUCUCCUGGGAGUUACCUGACGCUCAGGCGCGAAAGCCAGGGGAGCGAACGGG